UCAGGAGGGUAUUAUAGACACAUUACAGACAGACACCGUGUGGUGUAGUGUCAUACUGGGUUUCAGGUCUCUGGUUCUUGUCAGGAGGGUAUUAUAGACACAUUACAGACAGACACCGUGUGGUGUAGUGUUAUACUGGGUUUCAGGUCUCUGGUUCAUGUCAGGAGGGUAUUAUAGACACAUUACAGACAGACACCGUGUGGUGUAGUGUUAUACUGGGUUUCAGGUCUCUGGUUCAUGUUAGGAGGGUAUUAUAGACACAUUACAGACAGACACCGUGUGGUGUAGUGUUAUACUGGGUUUCAGGUCUCUGGUUCAUGUUAGGAGGGUAUUAUAGACACAUUACAGACAGACACCGUGUGGUGUAGUGUUAUACUGGGUUUCAGGUCUCUGGUUCAUGUUAGGAGGGUAUUAUAGACACAUUACAGACAGACACCGUGUGGUGUAGUGUUAUACUGGGUUUCAGGUCUCUGGUUCAUGUUAGGAGGGUAUUAUAGACACAUUACAGACAGACACCGUGUGGUGUAGUGUUAUACUGGGUUUCAGGUCUCUGGUUCAUGUUAGGAGGGUAUUAUAGACACAUUACAGACAGACACCGUGUGGUGUAGUGUUAUACUGGGUUUCAGGUCUCUGGUUCUUGUCAGGAGGGUAUUAUAGACACAUUACAGACAGACACCGUGUGGUGUAGUGUUAUACUGGGUUUCAGGUCUCUGGUUCUUGUCAGGAGGGUAUUAUAGACACAUUACAGACAGACACCGUGUGGUGUAGUGUUAUACUGGGUUUCAGGUCUCUGGUUCAUGUCAGGAGGGUAUUAUAGACACAUUACAGACAGACACCGUGUGGUGUAGUGUUAUACUGGGUUUCAGGUCUCUGGUUCAUGUUAGGAGGGUAUUAUAGACACAUUACAGACAGACACCGUGUGGUGUAGUGUUAUACUGGGUUUCAGGUCUCUGGUUCAUGUCAGGAGGGUAUUAUAGACACAUUACAGACAGACACCGUGUGGUGUAGUGUUAUACUGGGUUUCAGGUCUCUGGUUCAUGUCAGGAGGGUAUUAUAGACACAUUACAGACAGACACCGUGUGGUGUAGUGUUAUACUGGGUUUCAGGUCUCUGGUUCAUGUUAGGAGGGUAUUAUAGACACAUUACAGACAGACACAGUGUGGUGUAGUGUUAUACUGGG